UGGCGAACCUAGAGAUAGGGCUUCUCCUUCGGGAGCAGAGUGACAGGUGGUGCAUGGUUGUCGUCAGCUCGUGUCGUGAGAUGUUGGGUUAAGUCCCGCAACGAGCGCAACCCUUGAUCUUAGUUGCCAUCAUUAAGUUGGGCACUCUAAGGUGACUGCCGGUGACAAACCGGAGGAAGGUGGGGAUGACGUCAAAUCAUCAUGCCCCUUAUGACCUGGGCUACACACGUGCUACAAUGGACGGUACAAAGAGCUGCAAGACCGCGAGGUGGAGCUAAUCUCAUAAAACCGUUCUCAGUUCGGAUUGUAGGCUGCAACUCGCCUACAUGAAGCUGGAAUCGCUAGUAAUCGCGGAUCAGCAUGCCGCGGUGAAUACGUUCCCGGGCCUUGUACACACCGCCCGUCACACCACGAGAGUUUGUAACACCCGAAGUCGGUGGGGUAACCUUUUUGGAGCCAGCCGCCUAAGGUGGGACAGAUGAUUGGGGUGAAGUCGUAAAGGGGUAACCCGUA
rnacentral:rRNA from 1 species